GGGAAUGCAAUGGGCGCAGCCUGAUGCAGCCAUGCCGCGUGUAUGAAGAAGGCCUUCNNNUUGUAAAGGAAANAUCAGCGGGGAGGAAGGCGNUGAGGUUUCCAACCUCGUCGAGUGANGUUACCCGCAGAAGAAGCACCGGCUAACUCCGUGCCAGCAGCCGCGGUAAUACGGAGGGUGCAAGCGUUAAUCGGAAUUACUGGGCGUAAAGCGCACGCAGGCGGUCUGUCAAGUCGGAUGUGAAAUCCCCGGGCUCAACCUGGGAACUGCAUUCGAAACUGGCAGGCUNGAGUCUCGUAGAGGGGGGUAGAAUUCCAUGUGUAGCGGUGAAAUAA
rnacentral:rRNA from 1 species